GCGGGAGUUUAUGCGCAAAGGCUCUCCAAAACCCUCAGUUCACCGAGAGCAAUUACACUAACAAAGUCCUUCCAUCACAGAACAUCCGUUAUGGCGCCAUUGAUUCAGAAACUUUUCAUUGUUCUUCCUUUCUCUCGAGUGAAUUCAGAUCAACGAUCGUGCGCUGUUGAUCAUUUUUUUCGACUCAUGUUGUUGAUGACGAGCCGAUUCUUGUAAGCAUUACUCUUCUCAUUUGCGGAUUGAUUCUUACUCACAUUUCGCAUUUCGUAGUUAUGGAUUUCGAUGAAUAAUUCUCGUGAGGUUCGCGAUUUGAUACAUUCCGCAGCGUACGAUCCGAAUCAUGGAUACUUCGUUCAGCGGUAACGGUCGGUUGGAGUUAUGGAACAGAGCAUCACGUUCAAUCAGCUUGAAGCCUUGGUAUGCCCAUGGGAUUGCUGAAGCAAUCAUGCGUACUGCCAAUCUUUCUAUUCCACUGAAAGAGACGUGGAAGAGCAGCCGUGUUGGGUAAUUAUGCUUGAGGUUCUGGACAAUCUUCCAUUAUCUUAUGUACUCACAAAAUCAAGUUUCCUCUUGGAUGGAAGUAUGGGUGGAAAAGCAAGUUGAUAGGAAGACAGUAACAGAAUUAGAUGGUUAGGACCUAAAUGGGGAUAUGAUCAUCGAGUGGGCUGCAAACGCUGAAGAGCGGUUUGGAAGUUUUCUUUUAUGGCUCUAUGGACAACGAUUAUUGUGGUAAAAGUCGUAAUUUUUCUCAACAACAUGUGAAGCGUUUUAAAAUCGGAUAAGAAUAUAAAAACUUAUCCCUAGCAGAUGCGUUUUUCAAAUCGUAAAGUUGAGUAGACAAGGGCUUCGCUGUCGUAAUUCCUGAGAAAUU